ensembl:miRNA MIR148B microRNA 148b
GUUGUAGCGCUUGAGGUGAAGUUCUGUUAUACACUUUGACUGUGGCUACAUGGAAGUCAGUGCAUCACAGAACUUUGUCUCGAGAGCUUUUCAGC